rnacentral:rRNA from 1 species
CUACGGGUUGCUCCAGUGAGGAAUUUUGGGCAAUGGGGGCAACCCUGACCCAGCGACGCCGCGUGCAGGAUGACGGCCCUUCGGGUUGUAAACUGCUUUCACGUAAGAAGAAAAGCCGUAUGAACGGCUGGGACAGUAUUACGAUAAGAAGCACCGGCUAACUACGUGCCAGCAGCCGCGGUAAUACGUAGGGUGCAAGCGUUAUCCGGAAUUACUGGGUGUAAAGGGUGUGUAGGCGGACUUGUGCGUCGGAAGUUAAAGACCCGGGCUUAACUCGGGAGCUGCUUUCGAUACGGCAAGCCUUGAAUGUGAGAGAGGAUGAUGGAAUUCCUGGUGUAGCGGUGAAAUGCGUAGAUAUCAGGAGGAACACCAGUAGCGAAGGCGGUCAUCUGGCUCAUCAUUGACGCUGAGGCACGAAAGCGUGGGGAGCGAACAGGAUUAGAUACCCGAGUAGUC